rnacentral:lncRNA from 1 species
AGUCCCAAUUAAAUGCUUUCCAGGAGUUGCUGUGGUCACGGUGUCUCUUCACAGCAAUAGAAACCCUAACUAAGACGCCACCCAAUCUGUGGUGUUUGUUAGACCAUCCCACAUCGACAAAAGUAAGUGGUUUGAUGUGUUUUGUUUUUCAGAUUGAUGUAAACAGCCUGGAUAGGCAAGGAAUAUCCAAUGUAACCAUGAUACAUGGACAACAUAGACUAUUAAGCAACAAGAGAAAACAGGUCAUUGACCAAAAUGGAUCUUCUAGAGGAUCUCAUAGUGAUGCCUCGGUGUCUGUCCCUUGCAUUCUCCACACUAUAGCUCAUGGGAUCGAGCUUGAAAUUUCAACAAAGAUGGUAAUGACAUCACUGCAAAAGGAAAAGAGCUGUUUUGUAAGUGAGUGAGGUAUGACUAAGUGCAUACCCGUGUGUGUUCAGUCCCUGAGCGCUCCUUUUCACACAGCUGCUUGGUUUGUAGCUAGGAAAAAGGAGACUAGAAGACAUAGGAGUCUAUAUUUUAAUUAAAUCCACCUUUCUUUGAUGGUCGGAUGAAAAAAUUACACCAUUUUAGUUGUUAUAAUUUAUAAACAAAUACACAAUCUCAAAAAUCUCAUUGAGAUUAUCAGGAGCUGAAAGACACCAGUCUCAGCUUUAUAACUCAAGUAUAAUUCUCCUUGGAAAAAAAACACUAAAAUUAAAUAUUCUGUGAUUAUACUAGACUUUUGCUACCAUGUAACCAAUGAACAAAAAUUUGCUGAAGGCCCAAUACCCCUAAACAAAUUCACACUUUUAGCAGAUUAACCUCCAAGUUUUAAUCUGCUUUAAUCUGACAACUCACAGUAGCAUGCCAGUAACUCUUAUAGUCAGGAAGACAUUUCACAAAUAAUUUUACCUCACAGGGUCACCAGGAGCUCUCACCUCCUGACAUUUCACAACUGGAUAUCCGAGAUUUUUUCUGUGGGUAACUCAGCUUUAAAAUGUUUCCAAGCUAACGUUGUUAAAGGAUGGCCUGCAUCACUGAAUUUGGGAAUAUUGAUGACUAGUUCUUACUUACCUGGAGUGCAUCCAGAAUUGGUUUCUGAGGAAAAAAAAAUCUACAAAUUGUCUCCAGUGCUCCUCAGGCUUCAAGGCAGAGGGUUUCUCUGUAUUGCUUUGGAGGCUGUCUUGGAACUUGCUCUGUAGACCAGGCUGGCCUUGAACUCACAGAGAUAAGCCUGCUUCUGCCUGGGAUUAAAGCCAGAACCUGGAAACAACCUAGAUGUCCCUCAACUGAAGAAUGGAUAGAGAAAAUGUGGUAUAUUUACACAAUGGAGUACUACUCAGUGGGGAAAAAACAAUGGAAUCUUGAAAUUCGAAGGCAAAUGGAUGGCACUGGAAGAAACCAUCCUGAGUGAGGUAACCCAGUCACAAAAAGACAAAUGUGAGCCUUCAUCAUGUGGCUGAUAGAAGCAGAAGCAGACACCCACAGCUAAACACUGAACUGAACUCCUGGAACCCAGUUGCAGAGAGGGAGGAGUGAUGAGCAAAGGGGUCAAGACCAGGCUGGAGAAACCCACAGAAACAGCUAACCUGAACAAGGAGGAGCUCAUAGACUCCAAACUAAUGGCUGGGAGGCCAGCAUGGGACUGAUCCAGACCUCCCUGAACGUGGGUGUCAGUGAGGAGGCCUUGACAAUCUAUGCGGCCUCUGGUAGUAGAUCAGUAUUUAUCCCUGGAAUAUGAAUGGACUUUGGGAGGCAUUCCACAUGGAGGGAUGUUCUCUCAGCCUGGACAUAUGGGGGAUGUGUCCAGAUGAUAUGACAGACUUUGUCGAUCACCCAUGGAGGGCCUCACCCUCCCUGGGUAGCAGAGGGGGGAUGGAGGGAGGGUU